CCUGAGAGGGCGACCGGCCACACUGGGACUGAGACACGGCCCAGACACCUACGGGAGGCAGCAGUGGGGAAUAUUGGGCAAUGGACGAAAGUCUGACCCAGCGACGCCGCGUGAGGGAUGAAGGCCUUCGGGUUGUAAACCUCUUUCAGCAGGGAAGAAGCGAAAGUGACGGUACCUGCAGAAGAAGCACCGGCUAACUAUGUGCCAGCAGCCGCGGUAAUACAUAGGGUGCAAGCGUUGUCCGGAAUUAUUGGGCGUAAAGAGCUCGUAGGUGGUUAGUUACGUCGGAUGUGAAAAUCUAGGGCUCAACCCUAGACCUGCAUCCGAUACGGGCUAGCUUGAGUUUGGUAGGGGAGACUGGAAUUCCU
rnacentral:rRNA from 1 species